GGAAGGGUGAGAAUUUCUCGCACACUCUCUCCUAGAGCUUGGCAGUGCUUGUCUGUCCGUGGAUGUCAGAGCUCUAGGUCUUCCACCUUUGUACUCUAGGACUCAUACCAGCAGUUCCUAGGCUCUCCAGCCUUCAGCCUUGGACUGAGAAUGUUACCACCAGCUUCCCUGAUUCCCAGGCCUUCGGACUUGGUCUGAACCACACUACCGGCUUUCUUGGUUCUUCAGCUUCCAGAUGGCCUAUUGUGGGAUUUCUCAGCCUCUGUAAUUGUAGUCUUCAGGUUUUUCCAUAUAUAACAUCAUAUCAUCUGCAAACAAGGACAAUCUGACUUCUUCCUUUAUGAACUUUGGAGAAGUUUCCUGUCUGUAAAAAGGAGUCUCCCAUCAGCCUUUGCAGGGAAUUUUUACAGGUCAGCUGCUGCUCCUGGAAGCCAGCAGGUCUUCCUCCAUCAUACAAAAGACAAAUACAUGCAAAGCAGUUUCUAACAGAAGGACUCUCUCUCACCAUAGACAUCAAAGCUGGGAAUGUGCUGAAUUUCACCUGAAGUCAGCAAGUCUGUCUCACCCAAGGCCCUCAACAUAGUACUUGCUUAUUGCUGCUGGUUCUUCAAGGUCCAAAUGCUCUUCAGUUAGCAGGUGAUAAAUCCUGUCAGAACUGCCUCCUUCCCUUCAAGAAAGUAAGUUCCCUUCUGGCCCAGGGUGUGUCUAGAAAUGUCUUCCAGGAACUAAAGCCCAGAAAGGAGGCCUCACCACUCUGAUACCCUAUCCUGCUGGUAUCCAAGAUGCAAGACCAAGUCCUCCCCAUCCUUCCCUCUCCUCACCUCAAGCAGAAGGAAGGGGUCUGUUUUAGAGCCAUGAGGGCAGUCCUGGAUUCAGUGCCUCGCAUUUGUGGUGCUCUCCCUCUCCCCAUUGCAAGGAAACACUCUCUGCACCAUGCUGCCCCUGCCAGGGGAUGGGAGACGGAUGGUGUCAGUGAUUUAAGAUUUCUUUCCUACCUAAGUGCCUCUUUCAGGAAUAUAAAGUUAAAACCAGGCUCAUAGGUGGAAGCGCCUUGCCUUUUCUCAGAUGAGACUUUGGACCGUGGACUUUUGAGUUGAUGCUGAAAUGAGUUAAGACUUUGAGGGACUGUUGGGGAGGCAUUAUUGGUUUUGAAAUAUGAGGACAUGGGAUUUGAGAGAAGCCGGAGCAGAAUAAUAUGGUUUGGCUCUGUCCCCACCCAAAUCUCACCUUGAAUUCCCAUGUGCUGUGAGAGGGACUCAGUGAGGUAAUUGAAUCACGGAGAUCAUGGGGCAGCUCUUUCUUGUGCUGUUCUCAUGAUAGUGAAUAAGUCUCAUAAGAUCUGAUGGUUUUAUAAAGAGGAGUUCUCCUGCACAAGCUCUCUCUCUUUGCCUGCCUCUAUCCAUGUAAGAUGUGACCUGCCCCUCCUUGUUUUCCACCAUGAUUGUGAGGCCUCCCAGCCAUGUGGAACUGUAAGUCCAUUAAGCCUCAUUUUCUUGCCAGUCUCAGGUACAUCUUUAUCAGCAGCAAAAGCAUUCCCAAGAGGGACAUUUAUAGCAAUAGAACCUACAUCAACAAAGUAGAAAGAUUUCAAAUAAAUGAUCUUAAGGAUGCAUCUCAGGGAACUCAAAAAGCAAGAACAAACCUAACCCAAAAUUAAUAGGUAGAAAGAAAUAGCAAAGAUUCCUCUCUACCAAAGUGAACCAGAAAGAAAUAAAAAAUCUGAAAAGACCAAUAAUGAUUAAUGAAAUUGAAUCAUAAUCAAAAGUCUCCCAAGAAAGAAAAGCCUAGAUUCUGAUGCCUUCACUGCUGAAUUCCAUCAAACUUAAGAAGGACUACUACUAAUUAUUCUGAAACUAUUCCCAAAAAACUGAAGAAGAGAAAAUUCUCCCUAACUCAUUUCAUGAGGUCAGAAUUACCCUGAUUCUAAAACAAGACAAGGACACAACAAAAGCAACCUACAGGUCGAUAUCCCUGAUGAACAUAGAUGAAAAAAUUUCUUAUCAAAAUACUAUUAUACUGAAUCCAACAGCAUAUAAAAAAGAUAAUACUUUCUUAUCAAGUGGGAUUCAUCCCAGGGAUAAAAUGAUUGAUAGAUCAAUAUCUGCAAAUCAGUAAACACAAUUCAUCACAUCAAUAGAAUGAAGAAGAAAACCAAAUAUCUCAAUAGAUGCAGAAAAGCAUUUGAUAAAACUCAAUGUCUCUUCAUGAUAAAAACUCUCAACAAACUAGGCAUAUAUGGAUCAUACCUCAACAUGAUAAAGGGCCAUAUAAAACAGACCCACAACUGACAUAGUGAAUGAGGAAAAGAUCAAAGCUCCUUUUCUCUAAGAACUGGAAAAAAGAUGAAGAUGACUAUUUUUGCCAGCCCUAUUCAACAUAGUAGUACUUGAAGUACUAGCCAGAGAAAUCAGGCAAGAAAAAGACAUCCAGAUAGAAAUAAAGGAAGUCAAAUUGUCCCUCUUUGCAGAUGAGUUGAUCUUAUAUUUAGAAAAACUGGCCAGGUGCGGUGGCUCAUGCCUGUAAUCCCAGCACUUUGGGAGGCUGAGGUGGGCAGAUCAUGAGGUCAGGAGAUCGAGACCAUCCUGGCUAACAUGGUGAAAACCCAUUUCUAAUAAAAAUACAAAAAAUUAGCCGGGCGUGGUGGUGGGCACCUGUAGUCCCAGCUACUCGGGAGACUGAGGCAGGAGAAUCACGUAAACCCGGGAGGCAGAGCUUGCAGUGAGCCAGAAUUGCGCCACUGUACUCCAGCCUGGGUGACAGAGUGAGACUCUGUCUGAAGGAAAGGAAAGGAGAGGAGAGGGGAGGGGAGGGAGAACGUAAGCACUCCUCCAAAAAAACAUAAAUCUUAGAUCUGACUUAAAAAUUUAGUCAAGUUGCAGAAUACAAAAUCAACAUACAAAAAUCAGUGAUGUUUCUAAACACCAGUAAUGAACUAGCUGAAAUAAAUCAAGAAGGAAAUACUAUUUACAAUAGGUACAAAAAAUAUGAAAUACCUAGGAAUAAAUUUAACCAGGGAUAUUAAAGACCUCUGCAAGGAAAACUACAAAAACCCCAUCUCUACUAAAAAUACAAAAAUUAGCCAGGCAUGGUGGUGCACACCUGUAGUCCCAUCUACUUGUGAGGCUGAGGCAGGAGAAUCACCUGAACCGGGGAUGCAAAGGUUGCAGUAAGCCAAGAUUAUGCCACUGCACUUCAGCUUGGGUGACAGAGUAAGACUGUGUCUCAAAAAAAAAAAAAAAAAAUUGAAGAAGACACCAAAAAUUAGAAAGACGUCCCAUGUGCAUGGAUUGAAAGAAUAUUGUUAAAAUGACCAUAUUGCCCAAAACAAUCUACAGAUUCCAUACAUACCACUUCAAAAUACCAAUGGCAUUCUUCACAGAAAUAGUAAAACAUAAAGCCAAAAUUCACAUGGCACCAAAAAAGAGCCCAAAUAGCCAAAGAAAUUCUGAUCAAAAAGAACAAAGCUGGAGUCCACACACUAUCUGAUAUUCAAAAUAUAUUACAAGGAUAUAGUAACAAAACAGCAAAGUAUUGGUAUAAAAACAGAUAUACAGACAAUUGUAACAGAAUAAAGAACUCAGAAAUAAAUUCACAUAAUUACAACUAACUGAUUUUUGACAAAUGUGCCAAGAACACACAUUCAAUAAAUUACACUCUUUUCAAUAAAUGGUGGUGGGAAACUGGAUAUUCAUAUACAGAAGAAUGAGACUAGUAACCUAUCUCUUACCAUAUAUAAAAAUCCACUAAGAUUAAAGAUCUAAGCUUAUGACCUAAAACUAUAAACUACUAGAUGAAAACAUAGUGAAAACCCUCUAGGACAUUGGUCAAGGCAAAUAUUUUAUGGCUAAGACCUCAAAAGCACAGGCAACAAAAAUAGACAAAUGGGACUAUAUUAAACUAAAAAGCUUCUGCACAGCAAAUGAGACAAAAUUAUGAAGAGACAACCUAUUUAAUGGGAGAAAAUAUUUGUAAACUAUUCAUCUGUCAAGGAACUAAUGCCCAGAAUAAACAAUGAACUAAAAAAUAGAAAAGUAAAACAAUCCUAUUAAAAAGUAGGCAAAGGACACAUAAACAGAUAUUUCUGAAAAGGAGGCAUACAAAUGGCCAAUAGGUAUAUUGAAAAAUGCUCAGUAUCAUGAAUCAUUAGGAAAAUGCAAAUCAAAACCACAAUAAGAUAUAUAUAAUUUCUAUAAUUAUUUACCAUAAGAUAUUAUUUCUAUCACAUUGCCUUUAACCAAAGAUUGAAGACAGGUUCUAGAAAAGAAUAAAGGGGAAUAGCUCACAGGUUACAGAAAAAUGUAUGAGAUAGUUUGAUUAGUAGCCCUGUUAUAUCUCUGUCACCACAGCUACUGAACAAAUGUUUCAUUUAAUCUAUAAAUCUAUAAUUGAGGAAGGAAAGCAUUUCAAUGGGACAGGUGAAAAAGGACAAUCAAUUCAAAAUUAGAUACAGAAGAAUUUCUUUCAAAACCAGUAUGCUGGAUUCUCCUAAUGCUAAGAAAAAGAUUGUGAGUUGUAGAUCUACAGUAAAUUAAAAGGUAAAACAUGACAAUGAUUUGCAAAAAUAUGUCUAAGAAAGUUGUGUUUUAACGAAAAUUCAAGUGAAGGGAAGGUUUUAUUUUUUUAUUUAUUUCUUUUCUCUUUUUUCUUUUUUUUUUAGAUCGAGUCUUGCUCUGUUGCCCAGGCUGGAGUACAGUGGCAUGAUCUUGGCUCACUGGAACCUCCGCCUCCUGGGUUGAAGCAAUUCUCCUGCCUCAGCCUUUCAAGUAGCUGGGACUACAGGCGCACACCACCAUGCCUGGCUAAUUUUUGUUAUUUUAGUAAAGACGGGGUUUCACCAUAUUGGCCAAGCUAGUCUUGAACUCCUGACCUUGUGGUCCACCUGCCUUGGCCUCCCAAAGUGCUGGGAUUACAGGCACGAGCCACCACACCUGGACAGUGAAAAGAAGUUUAAGCACCAAAGUGGUCUCCUUUGGGUCAUGUGUCAUCUUUCUCCAGUGUAUUUGAAAAAGUAAGAGGGUUUGUCUCACAAGAACUCAUCAGUUAUCCCCAUGACAGAUCUCUGCUGACCCUCCUACUCCCUUCUCUGUGGUUGGUUACUUCUUACUUCACCCACAGAGUUCACAUGGAAUUUCAACCCUGGCUCUCGCUGACCCAGUGUGUGCCAAUGCUGACCUCUCCAGAAUGGAAAUAUGAAGAUGGUACCAUUUCUUUCAACCCUGAACUUCAUUCUACAUAUAGAAACCUCCACUUUACUGAAUGUUUGAAAAUAUCUAGAAAGCAUUACAACUUAAGACGUAUGGAGGAGGAAGAGGUUACCUUCAAAGUUAUGCUAACUGUGACUCUCUUGGGAAUCUAAGAAAAAAAAUUAAAACUUUGCCUUCCACAAGAGAACGUCUCAUGGGAAACUCCCUGUUUUUAGAGUUUAUUUUUCUAUGUGGAGAUCUAAUCUACAUUCUUUCAGAGGUGGUCGUGUCCUUAAUUCUUUGGUACAAAUCUCCACCACUCUUCAGGAGGUCCUAGUUCCUUCCCUUCAGAGGGAUCAGACCUACUCCUUAAGCCCUGUAGCUCAUUCAUUCCCCCAAAUUGAAUUCCUGAGUAGAGAAUAGUAGUACGUCAAGGUGCUUCAGCAGGCGAGUAUAGUAAGUACUUGGUACUAGACUCAGGAAACAUCAGUCUAGUGUAGAUUUUGAGAGCCAAACUAUGGUCUGCUCUAAGUUUCUCCACCUUUGUGAGGUAAAGACAUGCUUUCUUGGUCUCCUGGUAACAGCCAGAGUAUAUACAUAUGUAUACAUAUGUAUAUAUACCUAUAAAAUGUGUGUGUGUGUGUAUAUAUAUAUAUGUUUUAACUGUAGUUAUACACACACACAAUUCUCAUAAUAUGAAUGUAAAAAAUAAAAUGUUUUGAUUUUAAUUUCUCUAAUGACCAGUGAUGAUGAGCUUUCUUUCAUGUUUGUUGGAUGCAUAAAUGUCUUCUUUUAAGAAGUGUCUGUUCAUAUCCUUUGCCCAUGUUUUGAUGGUGUUGUUUUUUUUCUUGUAAAUUUGUUUAAGUUCUUUGUAGAUUCUGGAUACUAGUUCUUUGUCAGAUGGAUAGAUUGCAAAAAUAUUCUCUCAUUCUGUAGGUUGCCUGUUCACUCUGAUGAUAGUUUCUUUUGCUGUGCAGAAGCUUUUUAGUUUAAUUAGAUCACAUUUGUCAAUUUUGGCUUUUGUUGCCAUUGCUUUCUGUGUUUUAGUCAUGAAGUCUUUAUUGUGGCACUGUUCACAAUAGCAAAGACUAGGAAAACAACUGAAAUGCCCAUCAAUGAUAGGCUGGAUAAAGAAAAUGUGGCACAUAUACACCAUGGAAUACUAUGAAGCCAUAAAAAAGGAUGAGUUCAUGUCUUCCGCAGGGACAUGGAUGAAGCUGGAAACCAUCAUUCUCAGCAAACUAACACAAGAACAGAAAGCCAAACACCGCAUGUUCUCACUCAUAAGUGGGAGUUGAAUGAUGAAAACACAUACAUGGACACAGGGAGGGGAACAGCACAUACUGGGGCCUGUCGGGGGGUGGUGGGCUAGGGUAGGGAUAGCAUUAGGAGAAAUACCUAAUGUAGAUGACCUGUUGAUGGGUGCAGCAAACCACCAUGGCACAUGUAUACCUGUGUAACAAACCUGCAUGUUCUGCACAUGUACCCCAGAACUUAAAGUAUAACAAAAAACAAAUAAAUAAAACGUAUUUCUGUAAAUUAAAUGUUAUUUUUACAACGAAGAUAUUAUAU
rnacentral:lncRNA from 10 species